rnacentral:rRNA from 1 species
CCAGACUCCUACGGGAGGCAGCAGUGGGGAAUAUUGCACAAUGGGGGGAACCCUGAUGCAGCGACGCCGCGUGGGUGAAGGAGCACCUCGGUGCGUAAAGCCCUAUCGGCAGGGAAGAAAAGCGAACAGGGUCGCCUGGACGGGACCUGACUAAGAAGCCCCGGCUAACUACGUGGCAGCAGCCGCGGGAAUACGUAGGGGGCAAGCGUUAUCCGGAUUCACUGGGUGUAAAGGGAGCGUAGACGGCGACGCAAGUCUGGAGUGAAAGCCCGGGGCCCAACCCCGGGACUGCUCUGGAAACUGCGUCGCUGGAGUCCGGGGGGGCAGGCGGAAUUCCUGGUGUAGCGGUGAAAUGCGCAGAUAUCAGGAGGAACACCGGUGGCGAAGGCGGCCUGCUGGACUGCAACUGACGUUGAGGCCCGAAAGCGUGGGGAGCAAACAGGAUUAGAUACCCCCGUAAG